CACAAUACAUAUACUCUGAACAUUUGGAUGGACUAUCGAUUGAGAUAUUGGAUUACAUACGUGGAUCUGUGUUACUGUGUCCUUGAGAAAAGUCAUCCUAUCCUGAUGGAUACCCUUCCUCCACCAGUGGUGUUGGAAGAGGAUGUAUUGGGAGGAGGAUCCAUCAACACCCUGGAAAUAUGUUUGUGAUGCACUUACACAUAACACUUUUUUUGAGUGAUGAAUGAGUGUAUCGUCUUCAAUUUAUAAGUUAAGAGUCAAGGCCAGUGAAUGGACAGCUUUGUAAAGAUACCCUGAAUGAGUGGAACCUGGCCUCUUUCAUUACAAAGUUUGAUGUGGAAGAGAUGGAACAUGAAACGCU
ensembl:lncRNA